CAGUCGCCGCGGGAAUACAGAGGGUGCAAGCGUUAAUCGGAAUUACUGGGCGUAAAGCGCGCGUAGGUGGUUUGUUAAGUUGAAUGUGAAAUCCCCGGGCUCAACCUGGGAACUGCAUCCAAAACUGGCAAGCUAGAGUAGAGCAGAGGGUGGUGGAAUUUCCUGUGUAGCGGUGAAAUGCGUAGAUAUAGGAAGGAACAUCAGUGGCGAAGGCGACCACCUGGACUGAUACUGACACUGAGGUGCGAAAGCGUGGGGAGCAAACAGGAUUAGAUACCCGCGUAGUCCCUGUCUCUUAUAC
rnacentral:rRNA from 1 species